UGGUUCUGAAACAUGUCGGCGAUGACCAUCUCCGGGUCGGAGCUGGGCAUGAGCCGCCCCUUCCCCUCGGUGAGCUGGGCCUUGAUGAAAGUGGAGAACUGCAGCAGGGAGAGGUGCGGGGGGAUGAUGAUCACGCGUUUCUCCCCUAUGCACAUGCCCAGGAGGCCGGUGUUCAGGCCGUCGAUCAUCUUGCUGGCCCCGAGCGUCGCCUCCUGCGGGAGGCUGUAGUCGUGGCUGCAGGAGGCAAUGCAGACAUUGGACGGACGCCCUGCAGGCCCUGGUCCAUGCCGGGGAUGACGUAGCCCUUCCCGAUGUAGGUGUCGUAGGUGUGGUUGCGGGAGUAACUGCAGCAAACGCAGCACCAGGUCGCAGGCCAGGAAGGGAGGGAUGAUGAUCCUCCUCUUCUCCCCAGCGCACAUCCCCAGCAGGCCCUCGUCCAUGCCUUUGAUCAGCCAGCCGGUGCCCACGUAGGUGUCGUACGUGCUGCCCUUGCUGUAGCUGGCACCAGGGAGAGAACGGAAAAGAGACGAGGGGAAGAACGACUCCGGGGCACUGGCAGCGUCCCCGACCCAACCUGCUCAGCGCAGGGGUCCUGGCACGAGCGGGCUCCCCCUCCCGCACAGGGAGUCACGGAAAGUGAACUCACGCCUCCCCCAGCCCGGCCCCUCUGAGUCAGAUGUCCAGCAGGAUGACGUCAAAAUACAAGGUGGCGUCGGGGGGGAUCAUGCCAGCUGCGACGGACAACAAAUGAGACUGGCUCAGCCCCGGGGAGCAUCAGAGCGAGGGGAGCAGCCUCAUGGCACGAGGCCGGGACUGUUCACUUCAGCUCCUCGAAAUCCACCCACAGGCCCCCCACUACAAAGGGCUAGAUCCUGCCCUGGGGGUCCCUGGACUCCCCUGCACACAUCCAGUGGACAUCAGCCCACAGAGGUGCUGAGCCCUGCGAAGCUCAUGGACUUCACCGGGAACUUCACUUACGCGCGCAGAUGGGAGUGGAUCCACCCUCGGGGGCCUUUCUGCCUCCCGCGUUAUCCCCAGUGAGAAGAGCUUAGCGCGCGAGGCAGGAGGCAGAACCCCGCCGUGACAUGGGCUGACACAAGACAGGGGUCGUUGGGCCUGACCUCGCUGCACCGGAAACGCCCUGAGCCGCAGUAGGACGGCCGGGCGGGGCCCUCGCAUUCGACCCCCCCUUACCGACGCCGAUGCUGCCGUAGCCCAGAUGGGGAGGGACAAUCAGGUGGCGCCGCUCGUUGACGCACAUGCCCUGCAGGCCUCGGUCCAUGCCGGUGAUCAGCCGGCCGACUCCCACCACGCCCGCCACCGUGGCACCUCUGUCGUAGCUGGGGCGGAACGGAGGCAGACACGUUAAGUCCCCCUCUUCUGAGGGCCUGGGCUGUUCGGGAUACUGCAAAGCAGCGAGGAUCCUUGGCCACACCAGCCUGCCCCACCGGUCCCCCCUAAUCCCAUAGCUGGCCCCAAACGAUAGGGUUGCAAAGUUCCCACCCAGCCCUGCCUGUGGGGCCUGCCACAAGACCAGUCUGGUCAUUUUUCGGUGACUAACAGCCUGAGUUUCCAACUCCACCCAUGACUGGACCAAGACACAUCACCAACACAUUGCAGAGGCGGUGGAGUCUCCGUCACGGGAGUAGUUCAGUCCAGGCCGGAUGUCUUUCUAAACCACACGCUCUCACGCACGCAGAAGGGAAGGGCUUGGUUCUCGAGUUACGGAGUGAGAGGCUCUGGCCUGCAUAAUGCAGGUCUGCCUGGAAGAUCGUUACGGCCCCUUCAGAGCUCAAGAACUCGGACUCGAGCACUAAUUAAUAACUGAUUAUUACGCACCAUUGGCCCCAUGCCCCAAAGCCAUUAUGGCCCAACAUUUUCAGAAGUCUAAUCUAAUUUUUGGGGGCUUCUGGGGCUGGGAGCCCAACUCGCCACUCACCUUCCAGCCACAGAGCUGCGGGAGCCCAAGGCGGCUCAGCUUGGGCACCCCAAAUUAGAGGCCACUUCUGGAAACGCUGGCCCCUGUGACUCACCCAGGGAAUUGGCAGCAAAGUCAGGAAUAGGAUCCAGGUCUCCUGAGUCCCACUGCUCAGCCAAUCCCCAUGUCUCUCUGUGGUUAAAGCAACCCGCCCAUGAAAUGACAGGCUAGGGGGAUGCCCAUAAUGUUCUGCAGAGGAUGGAUUCUGUCCUUUGUUCUUGGAAUAACGGGGGGCAGAGGGCACACGUGUGUUGCGUUUCAUGGUGGAGCGUAUAAACGAGUAUAACGUCCCA